ACGACUCUCGGCAACGGAUAUCUCGGCUCUCGCAUCGAUGAAGAACAUAGCGAAAUGCGAUACCUGGUGUGAAUUGCAGAAUCCCGCGAACCAUCGAGUCUUUGAACGCAAGUUGCGCCCGAGGCCACUCGGCCGAGGGCACGCCUGCCUGGGCGUCACGC
rnacentral:rRNA from 1 species